rnacentral:tRNA from 1 species
AGCUAAGUUAUUGAUUUAUAAUUACCUGAAUAUAUAGUAACGGAUUCCUAAUCCGCAGGCCGCAAGUUCGAUUCUUGCCGGGG